rnacentral:lncRNA from 1 species
UGUGGCAAAUUAUUGACCUCUCUUUUUUAGCCUUCCAAAUUUAUCCUGGGUUGUGGGAGUUGGAAAGAGAGAAAUCUUCUCAGACUCAAGAGGGUUUGAUUUGCAGCCUUAGAAGAAGCCUAGAUGGAUGUGAAAGCAAGGCAGUACGUUUUGGACUCAUGAAGUUUUGA